rnacentral:lncRNA from 13 species
CUCUUACAGGGCUUUGCUAUUCUUUCUUAAGUGUAAAGAACUUGAGGAUGUUCCAGUACAGCCCAGAAACUUCUUUGGAAACACAGUCCUUAUGAAACCUUGCUGUAUUUCCACAGCUACAUUACCUCAGCCCUUCAAAGUUGCCACAAGCAAUGUUGGAAUUUAAUGUCGAUCCCCUUGGCCGCACUGCAGGAAACAGCACACCUAACCACCCAGAUCCUGUGCUAGUGAGAAGCGGGUGUUUUCCAGCUGUGUCCUUACAACACCCUUCCAGCUCAUGCCUCUCUCCCCUGUUGGCUACAAAAAUUCUGAGUUAAGGUUUUACCCGCAAACGCUGUCUCACCACGUCACUGCCCAAGAAUCCCCUCUCAUGGCCAGGCAUGGUGGCUCACACCUGAAAUCUCAGCUCUCUGGGAGGCCGACAUGGGCGGAUCACUUCAGAUUUCAAAUUAAAUUCCAAAAAGCAGAGAGCCAGGCUGUUUUGUAGUUCUGAAAAUGCAUUGCCAAAUCAUUCUUCUAUGGGGAUUGUCCCAGCCAUACUCCCUCCAGCAACGUUUCAGAGUCGGAGUAACAACCACGCAGCCAGCACUAGACCUCAUCAUCAGUCCAAACCAAUAAGGUUAUGUUAUUGCUGCUUUUAUUUGUAUGUCUUGGAUUGCUAAUGAGGUUGAACGUUUCCCCACAUUUGUCUACUAAUUGCACAUCUUUCUUAUGUGGAUUUCAAAUCUGAGAAGAAAAUUCCACGCCAGCUUUCCAGAAGUUUCAACACCAUGAGAUUAAUUUCAAUGUGUGUGUGAGGGCUUUUCAGUUCCAUGGAAGACAAUUCCAAGUUUAAAAACUGGGCAGAGUCAUCAGGAC